GGAUGAAGAACGCAGCGAAAUGCGAUAAGUAAUGUGAAUUGCAGAAUUCAGUGAAUCAUCGAAUCUUUGAACGCACAUUGCGCCCCUUGGUAUUCCGAGGGGCAUGCCUGUUCGAGCGUCAUUAUCAACCGUCAAGCCCGGCUUGUUAUUGGGCACCUAUCGCUCCUCAGUGAUUGGCCCGAAAGAUAAUGGCGGUGUCAAGAUUAGACCCCAGGUGCAGCGAGCUCUAAGCAUACACUGAGGUGGUCGUUUUGGCCUAGCUUUUAACUAUUGAAUUUUUCAAGGUUGACCGCGGAUCAGGUAGGAUUACCCGCUGAACUUAAGCAUAUCAAUAAGCGGAGGA
rnacentral:misc_RNA from 1 species